GGAAAACACGCAGUCGGACCGCCGAGUCUCCUGAGCUUGCGUCGUGGCGGCGAUAGGUUUAGAGCUCGGGCGUGAGGACACUGCUGAUCUCCUUCGGGAUCCGAGCGCGGCCCGAAGCCUGAGCGGCGGCGGGGCAUUACUUUAAGAGCAAGGGGCCUUUACUGACAUGGUGAAUGUCUUUCUCCCGUCUCCAGAUUAUUUCAAAUUGGUAAUCCCGAUCCUGUAUGAGACUGGGCUGUUCUGUGCCCAGGCGGCGUUGUGUGCAAUUCGGGUUAACGAGGGGCGGGGGAGGGUUCAGUGUUGAAAUCUGACAUUCUUUGAGAAUGUUUAAUUUUAAACAUACCGAUCCCCUGCAGGAACAAUGGCGCCGUCUUUCAAUGCUGUAUCAGAGCACUACUGUGGAUAUGCUAAGAUGUAUAAGCAAAUCCCAAAACGUCUAGUAGAAUAUUCAAUGAGAAAUUACAUGAUUAAAACCUGACAAUCUUCAUAGUGUCCUGGUUGUGAAAAUACUAACGAAGCUAUUGGCGUCACUGACUAGCAACUUCAUUUUAAAUGAGGGUCGCUGUCAGCCCAAUGAAAGAGGCCAGCUUGCUGUGAAGUUCCUGAAGUGCAACGAUAUCUGGCUAGUACCACGAGGUUUGUUGUAUGGAAUGCUGGUAUUAAGGAAAACAUCCAGAAAAAGCUCUUCGUUUUACAAACAUCAAAAGGAAACAAACAAAUUUUGGAUGAUAUUUGGUUUUUUAAUGGAAAAGUAUUUGCUUUCAGCUAACCGGCCUUGUAAUCAAAUUCUGAAUGAGUGUUUCACCUUUAGCUGCCUGUUUGAAUUUAAAAUGCAUAAUUGCAAUUAAAAUUGAGUGAAAUUUUAUA